UACAGAGGUCUCAAGCGUUGUUCGGAUUCAUUGGGCGUAAAGCGCGUGUAGGCGGCUCGGUAAGUCUGCUGUGAAAGUCCAGGGCUCAACCCUGGGAUGCCGGUGGAUACUGUCGAGCUCGAGUCCGGAAGAGGCGAGUGGAAUUCCUGGUGUAGCGGUGAAAUGCGCAGAUAUCAGGAGGAACACCAAUGGCGAAGGCAGCUCGCUGGGACGUGACUGACGCUGAGACGCGAAAGCGUGGGGAGCAAACAGG
rnacentral:rRNA from 1 species